rnacentral:lncRNA from 1 species
UCCAAAGCUAACUAUGAGUACAAUAUUCUCUUAACAGUUUUAUCAGUGUUCUAUUUGAGAACAAACCUCUAGUUCCAGUGUUUUAAUUAAUCUUGUAUAUUCCAUGAGACCAAGUGUUUUAUUUUGAAUUGUCUUCUAAUCCUUUUAAAAUUCCUGUCCUUGUUAUAUUUUCAGAUGUAAGUCUGAGAGGAGCUCUUACCAGAGCCUAGAGGUAGGUAUAGAAGGAAGACUUCAUCUAGAAACAUUGUUGAAGAGACACCGUAAGACUUUUGGCACCAGAAUCAUUAUUAACACAUGGAGCAACAUGACCGUAAUGGAAAAAUACUUCCUCAAAACAGGGACCCGUGGGCAUCCAGCGCUCUUAAUUCCUGCUGUGUUUCCUUCCAGAUCAGCUGUACACCACUGACACAGUGAAACUUUCAUUGAUGAAGAGGAUUUUCACAUGUAUACAGAAUAGACAGUGCUCAGACAGUAGACAUAGCUUAGGAAGUGGAGAAAGCAUAUAGCAUAGAAAAAUGAAAAUGGAAAUAAUAUUUUUAAAGCAACAUGCAAAGUUUGUUUCUAUAUAGUUUUCUUCAACUGUUUGUCACCAACAAAUCUGAAAUUAAUCAAGUAACUGCUAUACACUGAUUAGAAAGGAGAGUGAUCAAUGAUGAAUGGAAAACAGAUACCAGGAACUCAAAAUGAUUUAAAUACACUGAAAUGGAGUGAAAUAUACAUGAUGAAUUAGUAAAAGUUUUAUAUGCAUAUCCACACAAUGCAGAGUUUGACUGUAUUUUCACUGAUGUUUCCAUCAUAUUUUUAAUUUAAAAAAAUAUUUUUUUUUACUUUCUUGUUCUUAAAAUCUAGUGGAAUUAUUGUGGCAUACAUUCUCCUGUGUAUGGAAUACUCUAUCUGUCUUACUUUCAACUUGACUUGUCAGUGGUUAAUACGUCCUUGAUGUGAAUAGGAAAUUGGUCAGUUUAAAUGGACUGAACAUACUUCAAUUCUGGAAGUCUUGCAGUAACCUAUGAACUCACUUUAUUCUAUGGAAGGAGUUACCAGAUCACUCUGUCCAUCUCAACACAUGACUUAUAUUUGACAUGGCAUUCGAUGUUAUUUGUUAUU